CAUUUUCAAAAGGAUUUCAAAAUCGGUGCUGCCACUUCCCCCAGUAACCGGACCUGUGGGGCCUGGGAGAUGCUUUUGUGAGGAGGGGUCUGGAAGGUGGAACUUUCUAACCACCAGCACCUUUGAAAAGUGUUGUGCUGUGGAGGGAUGAGCUUGCUGUCAGGAGAAACAUGGAAGCCUUGGGGAGCCGCUGGGCUGUUGGCUGAGACCUGGCCUUCUCUAGAAGGAAUCCAAGACAUCAGGCACAUUCCCAGGAGCGGGCUUGAUGGGUGGAAUGGCAACCGUAGG
rnacentral:lncRNA from 1 species